CCAGGCUUUCUUUUAUUUUUAACACUAAUACAGUGGGAAAAAGUUUCUGCCACAGCAAGGCAAAGUCCAGGCUUUUGUGAGCAUGUCCUUUUCAUCCAAUGGGCAUUAAUGUAUAGAUUCCAAUGGAAUAAAUCUGAAAUACUCUACUGUAGAAGAUUUGUCCCCCAUUGAAAACAAAUCUUGAUUAGAUGGUUAUUCAGGGAGUGUAUAGGAAGGAAUGGUGUGAAAAUGCUAACUCUAUUCUUUCUUAGAUUGGCACUGAAUAGGCAUUUGGGCUAUUCAAGAAAAAAAAAACACACACACACACACCCAAACCCCAACCCUAUCAACUGUACAAAACCACAAAACUUUACAUAGAUUAUGUGAUCAUGUGUAUUUGGGGAUUCUUCCCCACCCAAAAUAAAAAAUGCACAGUGUUAUGAACACAAAACUGAUGGCAAAAUGAAAUAGUGAUAAAAAUAGUUCUCUGUGUUUUAAAAUAAUAACUUACCUCCUUUUUACUAGAGUAAAAAUACAGAGUCAGCUUGUGAUGGCAUUCCCUCAAAACAUGGAAGGAAUUGCAGUAAUGAAAGUCAUCAUGUAUUCUAAGAGACUGUUCUGCGAGAGCACAACACAGACGGGGCUAAAGCAGGGGUGAGUACCGAAGGGAAAAUCUGCCUGUGGGGAAUUGGGGAUAGAGGGCCUGACUCUCUGUUUUGCAGGAACGUUGCUCCUGCCUGUCCCUUAAGCUGCAGGGGUCCAGGGAUAGGACUUAGCAUGAGAAUAAAAAGCUGCCUGCUCACAAGAGAAAAUGAGCAAGAAAGGAAACAGCAGGCAAUACAAUCUCUUUUAAUUAGGUGUGAAAUCCAGUUCUUUCUCAAUCAGGAGAGCAAAAGGAUAUAUAAAAUGAGACUAGUGCAAGGGUAAGAUGCUACAGAGGGGGAUGGGGAUUUGAAGUCUCUGGACUUGGAAGGAAACAUCAGCUCUCAAAUGAAAACCAAUAUAAAUUUCGGUCCAGUUAAUAAGCCUAAGUCAAGUGGCAGGGCCAGAAAGCCCUUGAGCUUUCAAUUUGGGGCACCAGAUGAGGUUAGUGGGUCUUGCACAUGAAACAGGGUGCAGCUUGCCAAGUUAGUCACACUAGGAAAGAGCCAGUCAUCUCUGGAGAAAGGGGGGAUGUAUUUUGGUGACUGAGCCCCCUUAUUCUCCAAACCCCCUGCCUGGGGUAAGACUUCAGUUACAUGUACUUUACCUCCUCAUAUAUGCCAAGGGAGUCCUGCUGAAUCCCUGCACUAUAGGAGGUAUAGUAGUUUCUUGCUAACAGGUUCCAUCCACAGCAAAUGACUCUGCACCACCCCACUCUCUCUUUCUAUCUCAUUAGUAUCAUCACAGUCUUGGGAGGUGGCUGGGAGCACUGGAGAAAUCACACAUGCAAGUGGAAGGCAGCAAGCAGACAAGAUCUCUUUCUCCUAUCUUGGCUCUAUAUACCUAGCAUAUCCCAGCUGCUAUUACCUCUGUAGUGAGACUAGGGAGGGUCAUCAGCCUAUGGGAGGGCGAGCUGUACAGUUUUACUUACCCAUUCUUGGGUGAAAAGGGGGGUGUUUUGGGCCAUCUCCCAAUAAAGGUUCUCCUCUAUCUUCCAGAUUGUCUAAGCCCAGUGUGGAGGAACCAUCAAGGAUUUCAGCACGUUUUUUUAGCCAUUGUGAGAAGCAAAAGUGCUCAGGAGUUAAGAGAAGCAGACGUCCGAAAUUAUCUCCAUGCAUUACCAAAAACCGUGGGCACCACGGCACGGGGAAAACUUACCAGGUACAAUGAGCCAGUGACUGUUACUGAAUUUCUUAAGAUUACACUUUUCCCAACUACUGCAGACUGCUUCAGAAUAGAAGAAGGUAAGUAAGCAGGGUGAUUACAAGCAAUCCUCCUCGGAAGUGAAACUCACUCUUCUAAGUUUACCUCUGUUUUGAAUUAUUUCAGACAACUCUCAUGCCAUCAAGCCGACGGACUUUCAAAAAAAUAAAAGAUGCAUUUCUUUACUUGUAAGUAUUUGUCUUUGCAAAGGGCUCUCUGAUAUGGUAGCACAGAAGUUUGCACAUUCUAAGGAUCUGAUGUUUUGCCCUCUUCGGGUAUCCCGGCUGGAAGGAGCUACGGUGAAAGGGCACCUAAGGUGAAUGGACAGAUUGUAGAUGGGUGCACACAGGAAAAUGUACAGCUCCUACAAUGUAUUCUGAGGGCCCAUGAGAAGUAAAAGCAGGCACUGGCAUUCUGCACAGAUGAAAUACUUCCUACGACAGGAAUACAUGCUCACUUGUGGACUUCUCUGUAAUCUGUAGGCAACAUCAGCUCCUGAUUUCUAGGUCUGGAUCUGGGUUCUCUGUAGCACAGGAAGGUCUCUACUUCUCCUACAUAAAUGCCUUGCAUGGCGGGAACUAAAUCAACUACACAGACCCAUACAUCCAGAGAGCAGAGGUGAGCUGGAUACAAGUGGCUUAGAGAUGUGGUGGAAGGAGGCCAGAGCUCCAAGGGAAGGGCAGCAAGGAGACAACAGCAUGGGUUGCAGCUCAGACAACAGGUAAAUAAAACCAAGCAAAGCUGCUGGUCACAGAUUUGACCAGGGUGGCAAGAAAUGACAAGCUACCAUGAGAUUCAACAGUGGCACGGAAGGAUGAUGAGAAGCAAACAGAUUAGGAGAAGCUGCCACCACCGUACAUAGAGGCACAGAUGACCAAGCAGAACAGCACCAGUCCCUGCAAGGUGUGCUCAGAUACAGCUCAGCACAGCCAUCUGGCCAGGAGGGAAUGAUAAUGCACAUGGUGUGCACUGCAGCCGGGAAGUUGAGAACCGCUGUGGGCACCUCAGGACUGAGUCUGGUUACCCUGCUGAUCCAAGAAAUGAAGCCAUCUAAAAUUUUGCCUGCUUUCACAAUUUUCUGUGUGUGUGUGUGUGUAUUAAACAAAGUGAACUAAGAAGCCUUUUAUUGGAGACAUAAUGUACUCACAGUAGUUUCAAAAUCAAUGGUGUCACUCUUCAGGUAAAUUACUCCAAGGCUUGGGCCUAGUGCAGAUGUUCAUUGGGGCAGGGAGCAGAGAGCGGCUGCAUCUAGAUCAGACAAAAAACAAAAAUAAGGUUGUUAAAUGAACAGGUGAUGGUGAUGGCAAUUAUUUAUUUUGAUAGGAAAG
rnacentral:lncRNA from 1 species